rnacentral:lncRNA from 1 species
AACUUGUAUCUCUGUAUAUGGCAUUAUUCAAAUUUCACCUUUGGACAUUGUAAACAAUAUUAUUAAUACUCAAACUAUCUCAAUUAUCAAAAUUAUCAAUGUCUGUCAUUUAUGAGUAGUUUUCAGCAGUGGCCUUAAAUAUCGUAGUCGAACAGUUGUUCGUCAGUGUAGUCUCGUCUGUGAGCCAACCAGUAUCAGCUACUCAGGAAAAACGCUAACUCAAAAGACAGCUCAACACAACUGUAACUGCUCAAGCCAGACAACUUUAACUUGGAAUAUUUCGAACAUUUUGGACUUCUAAACUUAUACUGUGAAUGAAUUACUGAAAUUAGCGACUUUAUUAAUUUGAACAUUUGGACUUUAUUUAUUUGUAAAUUGUUUUGGCAUCAUUAUUAUUAUUU